rnacentral:pre_miRNA from 1 species
UGGAUAGAUUAUUGUAUUCGACUGUAUUCACGGCAUGAAACAGGGGAUUACACUGUUUUUAAAACGGAAAGUGAAUCAAUUAACAUAAUAGACUCCU